rnacentral:rRNA from 1 species
UUAACCCUAAACUUAGAUAUUUUAAAUACAAAAUUAUCCGCCAGAAAACUACGAGCAAAACGCUUAAAACUCCAAGGACUUGGCGGUACCUCAAAUCCACCUAGAGGAGCCUGUUCUAUAAUCGAUAAUCCACGAUAAACCUCACCAUCCUUUGCCAACUCAGCCUAUAUACCACCGUCACAGCCUACCUUAUGAAAGUCAAAAAGUAAGCUCAAUAGCUAUUACAGCUAAAAAGUCAGGUCAAGGUGUAGCCAAUUAAGAUGGAAGAAAUGGGCUACAUUUUCU